rnacentral:lncRNA from 1 species
AAUAGUCGAAGCCAUAGCCAACACCAUCAUCAGGAAUGUCAGUGUUGUAAUAAAAAGGGACAGGAAGGGCAAGAUAGUCAUAUGCAGUGACAAGCUCUGGUAACCAACCAUCUGAACCCCUUCUAUAUAGAUAAAGUUUGCAUAUUUUAUUAAGACAUUUUCCUUCUAUCUCAAAUGAAACCGUUGUGCAUUGCUCAAAUGCUCCUGAAUCUGGUUCAUCCAGUCUUGGAGAAAAUACCUGCAUUUACUCUUUUACAUAAUUUCAUAAAUUUCACCAAAUUUAAAAAAUUAAUUACACUUAAUAACUUUUUUAAUAAUUAUAAAAGUAAUUAUUUUUAUUUAUAGUAGUAAUUGAAUAUAUAUUUCAACUAAUAUGUUACUUCUUUUAUAAGAGACUAAAAGUAAUAUAUUGAUGAUAUUUUUGUCAUUUAAUUCAAUUGUAAUUCGUCACCAUAUUAAAUAAUUAAAUAAUUAUUACUGAAUUAAGAAUUAAACAAUAUCAUAUAUAAAUUUUGGUUUUGAACUCUGAUCGGAGUACUGGAGAUUUAUAAAUUUUAGUAUAAAAAUUAUGUUUAAAGUCAAAAUCUAUACCAAUUCAAAAUACUAAUUUUAGCUUCAACUUACUUUUAAUAAAAAAUAAUUUUACGGAAUUAAUUUUUAUUACUGCCUAAUCAAAAUAUUUUCAUUAUAUGUGGUGAAAAUCUGAAUUUUUUUCAAAAGCAACAAUUAAUUAGAAACUGAGGGCGUAAUCAAUUAACAACAAAGUCACAAAUUUUAAAAUUAAUAUUAUUUGGUGCAACAAAAAUUGAAGAAGAAGAGAAACAUGUAUGGUAAAUUGUUGAUAAUAGAGAAAGGAAUGAAUUACCUCAGAGCCAUCAGCAUCUCCAAAUACAAUAUCAAUUUGAUCUGUUGUAUUUAAUGGAGAAUCGCAGCUUGUUUUUAUGGUGACCAGGUAAUUGCAGCUACUACUCUACAACAUAUGCAAAUAAAAUCAUAUUUAUAGUCUUUUAUUUAAGAUAUGCAAUUAAUCUAGGUACAUAAAACAUUCAUGUGUGCAGUGGCUAAACUUUAGGGGAAAAGAGAUACUAAUGAACUAAAAGUUUAAUGUUUUGAAUUAUAUAAUAAUAAUUAUAAUUUUAAUAAAGAGAAGAAUAUAUAAAAUUUAAUUACUUGUGAAUUGAUAUCAUUAAGCAUGGAAGGUUGGUUGAUUUGAGGUUUAUCUCGAGUGACCAUUGUUGGUGUUACCUGUGAGAAAACAACAAUUAUGGAGAAUGUGAAGAUUAAGGUAAGAGCUUUCAUUUUUCUUUUUGUUUCAAGUGAAGAGAAAGAUGAACACCUAAUUGGUUUUAGAUUUUGGCAGCUUCUAUUAUAGCAUUACAAAAAU